CAUGGCCAUCAGAGGGAGCCUGGUGGGACUCUUGGUGCCCUCCCCUGGUUCUGCCUCUCCAACCCAUGGUCUGGAAGCAGGGCCGCCUGGAUGCUGUGAGAGCGCUGGCUAUUCCCUCCCAACUCACCUCUGCCUAGAAGACCCCGUUAGACCUAGGGUCUCCUCCAGGAAGCCCACCCUGACUAUCAGAGGCACUCCUGGCCCCAAGCACUCUCUGGAUUGUUGAAAUCCUCUGGGUAGGAGAAGGAACUCAGGUCAGGGGUUAGGGGAAACCAGCGCAACGUGGCUCUGCCCACAGCCGUCUGGGGCGCCCUGGCCAUCCCCUUUCCCUCUCUGGGCCUCACUUUGCUUGUCAUGCAGGGGCAAGGAGGCUCAAGUUGCUUCCAUAGCUGAUGUUCUGAGAUAAUGUCCAGUGGGAAGCCGGGAGGUAGGAGAGGCAGAGAAAGCCGUGGGUGGUGCAGGGAGGAUGCGUAGGGUCCCACCUCUGGGUUGACAGCAGAGGUGCCUCGUCCUGCCCCCAACAGAGGCUCCAGCUGCAGUGGUGGGGGCCGUGUGGUCCCCAAGGAGUCCCCCGACCCACAGCCCUGUCCGUCUCUCCCUCCUCCAGGUGCCAGGGUCGUCUUUACAACAAAGCAUCCAAACUGUGACUUUCCUGCCCUGCAGGAGGGUGAGAGACAUCGGGGAAGGGCCCCCAGACCCGAGCACGCAUUUCCAGCAGAACCAUGAGCAUGUGAUUGAGGCCGUACGUGGGGCCAAGUCCAAGUUCCCUGGCUGCCAGAAGAUCUAGAGCACAACGCAGCGGGCCUUGAUCAGGUUCAAUGCGGAUGAAGCUGAUCCCACAUGGUGGCUGAGAAGCGGCUCCCUCAUCUGGCAUGGUUGGGGGUCAAACGCAGCCCCAGUCGUGGCCUCCUGGGUCUCAAGACGAGCAACAGCCUCUGAGUCACAACUGCGCGGAGAAGCCUAGCAGCCACCUCGGCAGAGCCAUUCCCCCAUGUCCAGCCUGAGCGCCAUCUGGAAAGAGACCCUGCUCAGCCGCCCCAGCAUUCCAGAGACCCGCAAGCCACUGUCCCAAUCCCCUCUUCCGGCCCACUCGCAAGCAUUAACUGGCGCUCUUCACUUGUCUUUCUGUUACAUCAGAAGUCAGGGGCACAGUGAGAGCCCCACACAGAAGGUUGAGGUCACGCCACUGACCAGCUGCGGGCCACCAGGCAGAGCAGCCUGGCCGUAGUCCUGGUCACCCAAGUGCCAUCGAUUGGGGCUGCCACCACCAACCCGGUGCCACACCAGCAUUGGCCACCAUUCCUGGUUCCCCACAGCAAGCCUAUAUGACAGGCAAUGGUGUCUCCAUUUUACAGACAAGGAAGCGGACGCCAGGGAGGGUAAGGGCUGGGUUCAAGGCUAGGCAAACAGUGCUGGUGACAACAGCAAGUAGGAACGCAGGCCCCAUCGGAGCCCUUCCUGUGAGCCGGAUGCAGACUGAAAGAGCGGUGCCCGAAACCCUCAUGCCUCCUAGAGCCACGCGGUUUUCUGUGUGCCCGGAAGCCACACGCCCGAGGACGUGCGGACAGGUGCAAGGAGGACAACCUCGGGAACGGCGAUUCUCGAGGUGCCAUUUGGACCCUAAAUGACAGUGUUUGCUGCUCGUCCUCAGGCCAGAACACUUUAAAUAAAAACAACCCAGACAUUCUUGUGUUUGUAUAAAAGAUAUUUACUUCAAUUAUCACACCUAGGGUGCUAGUGAAUAAUAAUACAUGGUGUGAGUCUCAUACAGUGAUAUUGCUUCUCCGUAUUAUAUAGGGACCGUUGUACAGUGCUGAGAACAAACAUCGUAUGGCUAACCAAAGACAGAGGGACAACACCAAGGGGCCGACGGGUGCCUCCCCCACCCCCACGCCAGCCAGGUCAACUUUGACUCUUAAUGUAGAAAAACAAAUAGCAAGAAAUAAAAUGUUAUCAGAGAGAUGUCAUACAGCAACACACCAGAGGCAUCUCAAAGCGAUUUGUACAAAAAAAAAAAAAAAAAACUUUUUUUUUUUUUUUCCUUUUUUUUUUUUUGGUCAAUUGGGUCUUUGUGAGGAUUGGAGAAAAAAAAAUCUGUGAUUGUGAGGAUUAACAAACAAGCUCUAGAAAGAUCUAAGACUUGGUGCGUUACAGAAAAUAUAAAAUACUGCUAAAAUGUAAGACGUGACAAAACACUGGAGCGGGGGUGGGUUGGGGGUUGCUGAGCUUAUAAAGAGUUUUCCGGAAGAUUCCGCCACCCUGCGAGUGCGUCUUGUGCUGUUAGUAGUCUGGACAGGAGCGUGGUGCUACCCGCUCUCAAGGCAAGCAGCAAACAGUUAUUAUUGCACAAACGCAAAGAACUAGGUCUCUUAUUCAAUGGAAAGGGAUGUGGGGAAAACCACCUUCUUUUUUCCCCCACUUUUAUUUUAUAACAAGCUAUUCUCCAAUGCUUUAAGAAUUUUGGGUGAAUUCUCACAUCUCCAGAAUGCACGGGAUUUUUUUUUUUUUUCCAAGAGGUCUCAGAUGGGGGACGUGAGAUGCCCGUUUUCUCAAGGGAAGAGGCAGAAGAUGGUUUGAGAGAGAGAAAUGCAUAGACUGAUUAGAGAAAAAUGAAAAAAAAAAGUAUUUUGGGGAGAUGGGGACCAUUGUUUCGGUGGAGGGUUUCUUUCAAAGAGAGAACAAAAUCAGGACCCCCGGCGAUCUUGGAGAAGGGGAGGUGAUGGUAUGGAAAGAGAUACUCUUCCCAGCCUACCUUGGGGUGGGCAGGACCCUUGCCUUGGCCUGGGGUAAGAUUCCUUCUGCUGGGCCCAUGGGAUCGAGGCAGGGCAUCUCACCUUCACACCCGAUUGGCAAGCAACUGGUGUCCUGCUGGCUGAGCUUGGGGCCACAGCAAGCAAUCUCCACACCCAACCUUCCUCCACAUUGAACCACCUAUAGAAAAGGGGCCCUCUGCCUAUGCUCUCCUAGGUGAGCCCUCAAGCCACAGCCUGGUACUACAAAACACUGUUGCUUUGAAAGAUGGUUUUGACCAACUUUGUACGCAAGAAAAA